rnacentral:rRNA from 1 species
GAUGAACGCUGACAGCAUGCUUAACACAUGCAAGUCGACCUGGUGGCGGACGGGUGAGUAACGCGUAAAGAACUUGCCUUACAGCUAGGGACAACUUUUGGAAACGAAUGCUAAUACCUAAUACGGUGUGAGAGCGUGGCGUCCCAUUUGCUAGUUGGAGUGGUAAUGGCCUACCAAGGCGAUGCUGGGUAGCCGGCCUGGGAGGGUGAUCGGCCACAAGGGGAUUGAGACACGGCCCUUACGCCAACGGGAGGCAGCAGUGGGGAUUAUUUGACAAGGGCCCAAGGUCUGAUCCAGCAAUUCGGUGUGCAAUGUGAAGUUUUUCGGAAUGUAAAGUGCUUUGAGUUGAGACGGUACCAACAGAAGAAGUGACGGCUAAAUACGUGCCAGCAGCCGCGGUAAUAC